CUACGGGGUGCUGCAGUGGGGAAUAUUGCACAAUGGAGGAAACUCUGAUGCAGCAACGCCGCGUGGAGGAUGACACAUUUCGGUGCGUAAACUCCUUUUAUAUGAGAAGAUAAUGACGGUAUCAUAUGAAUAAGCUCCGGCUAACUCCGUGCCAGCAGCCGCGGUAAUACGGGGGGAGCAAGCGUUACUCGGAAUCACUGGGCGUAAAGAGCAUGUAGGCUGAUAGAUAAGUUGGAAGUGAAAUCCUAUGGCUUAACCAUAGAACUGCUUCCAAAACUGUCUGUCUAGAAUAUGGGAGAGGUAGGUGGAAUUUCUGGUGUAGGGGUAAAAUCCGUAGAGAUCAGAAGGAAUACCGAUUGCGAAGGCGAUCUACUGGAACAUAAUUGACGCUGAGAUGCGAAAGCGUGGGGAGCAAACAGGAUUAGAUACCCUCGUAGUC
rnacentral:rRNA from 1 species